rnacentral:rRNA from 1 species
AUUGAACGCUGGCGGCAGGCCUAACACAUGCAAGUCGAGCGAGCGGCGGACGGGUGAGUAAUGUCUGGGAAACUGCCUGAUGGAGGGGGAUAACUACUGGAAACGGUAGCUACUACCGCAUACCAUCAGAUGUGCCCAGAUGGGAUUAGCUAGUAGGUGGGGUAAUGGCUCACCUAGGCGACGAUCACUAGCUGGUCUGAGAGGAUGAUCAGUCAAACUGGAACUGAGACACGGUCCAGACUCCUACGGGAGGCAGCAGUGGGGAAUAUUGGACAAUGGGCGAAAGCCUGAUCCAGCCAUGCCGCGUGUGUGAAGAAGGCCGUCGGGUGGUAAAGUACUUUCAGCGGGGAGGCGUUACCCGAAGAAGAAGCACCGGCUAACUCCGUGCCAGCAGCCGCGGUAAUAC